UUGCCUCUGAUCCUGCUGAUUCCAGUUUUGUCCCUGACACAAACCCCUCCACCUCUAUCACAGGAAGCUCAGCAAGCAUUCCUAGACAAUUUAGAGGAUGAUAAGAGAGGAAGUGGCUGGUUAAUGAGUCCAAAGUCAUGGAACUCUUCCAAAAAUUCACUUUUUGUGGAGCUGCAAUGUGGGAUGUGAACCAAAAUCAAUGCAUUUACUAGCCUGCAAUUUCAACCUUGCACACUUGUUACGGAUUUAUAUAUAAUUUAAGGGAUGAUAACUUUCAGAUCCAUGAGCUGUUCUGACCCAACCAUGCUGGUCAUCUGUGUGACAUCAUCUCUCUCUCAUUUGCUGUCUGUCAGCCUUCUUCUAAAAUAU